CUGGCUUGGAGGCACGCCCACCCCCUGGUCGCCACACUUCUUUCCGAUCCACCAGACCUGUUACAGGCUUUUGGUGUGUUGCUAGUUCCGUGACACUGACGCUCGUUAACGAGCAGGACGCACAUAGUGCUUUCCAACUCCGGUGAUGAACGGAAGCUGUCUAACGGGACUGGUUAAUCGCUCACAGAGGAGCUAGUGUGCAACGUUAAUUUAACGCCAAACCCCUGCUGCUUUGUCUGCUUUGCUCUGCUGUGCGUGGACUGGUGUUUUACUGGCACCUGCUGUGUUGCGUGGCACUGCCGGUGUUUCUUCACGCCACGCCGGCUUGGUUCACUUUGGCGUUUUUGCAGCUCUGGUAUCAAUGACCAUUUGGUGAUGUUGGUAGCGGCAUGGACACACAGUAUAAAUUGCCAGUCUCCCAGUCUUGGGCUAAUAAUUUUGGGGUUAAUUAAUAGGGUUUAUUUGAUUUAUUUUCCCGAGUUGUCUAAUCAUAGGUUUAUUUUGUAACAUUGUUUCAUGCACAUUGUAUAAUUUCGAACAUUUCUGUUGUUGGUUUAGUUUAUUCAGUUAAAGUGAUG